ACAAGCAUUGCAAAAGGACAAACAGCAGAGACCUGCUGUAGUAAACGGCAAGAAUAUUCAGAAGGGGCAAGGAAAGACAGUUUGUAAAGAAAAAGAGAGGUGACUGCAGGAGAUAUUUUCACAAACAUGGUUGGUCACAGUGAUUACGAGUUCCUUCAGCUCCUAAGGGAACUGUGCAAAGGAAAUUAUGGAGCACAGUGGUGAGUUGACAGGUGACUACCAUGUGCAGCAUCCCAAAGACCUCCCACGACAGCAAGAAAAGCAAAAGGCUUUCCACUGUGCCCUACGGAAAAGGACAAGAAGACAAAACACACGUGCUAUCAGGCCACAGAGGUUUGAGGAGGCCUCCUGGAAUGUGUGACCUUGGACGCGUGCCUGAAGCACCAGACAAGACCCCCAAGCAGGGGAGGAAACCAGAGACCUCCAUGGAACCUGGACCUUGGCCCAGACAAGGGAGCUGUUCCUCCAGCUUCAGCUGACCACACAUCAUGUGCUACAACAACAAAGAGGGGCAUGUAGGGAGCCUCUGAAGAUGGAAAUUGAUCUCAUAUGCAGGGACAAUUGGGAAAAAAGACCAUCUGGGUGAACCAUGUGAAGAAGCUGCUUCAGUCUGGAAAACACCAAGCCCCUUAGCAAUGCAAGCAAUGGCUGGCUAGCCUCUCAUGGUCCUUCACCCCUCAAAACUCAAGAGCUCACAGGUCAUGGUACACAUGUGCGUAUCCACCAUGCAUAUCUGCACAUUGUACACACCAUAGCUGAAGAACAGAGGAGACAGGACGGGCCUGACCUAACAUCUGCUGAACUUGAGCUUCAAUGUUCCUCAGUGAAACUGGACCUGGCAGUUAAGACCCUGGGACAGGAGGUGGAGAUGGAUAAAGAGGCACCCACAAGGACUUGCUGAAGACUCUGGCGGGUGUCACUCUUGAAGACUCCCAGAAUAUUGGAGACUUCAGUAAAGGAAAGUAUAUGCGACCUCUCAGGAAUGAGGCAUCCUGUCACACAGCCUGCAGAUUGGGGCUCUACUAGAGGAGGCAGCCCUAGGCCUAGGUCACCCGUCUCACUUUCUCAUACAGGCCAACAUGUCACCAAACCCUUCCAAGAAAACCAUGGCAUUGCAGAGUAUGCAUUUUUGAGUCUGGAAGCCUCACAGCCAGUUCCUGCCUCCACCCAUCUUGCUCUGUCUGUUCUUAGGGCAGAAAGGAGGGUAAGUGUGUAGCCAGGGGCAGGCAAGGGUGAUGAUGCCAUUGUUCUGGUCUUCUUUUGUUUGGUUUUUUCUUUGUUUUUUUUUUUUCUUUCAGUUCUGGGAAUUGAACACAGGAUCCUAAAGUUGCAGAGCAAGCCCUCACCACUGAAAUAUAUACCAGAGCUCUACUGGCUUUACAGCAUGCCCUCUACUCUUGGCUCCCAUGGAUCUCACCCAAGAAAAGUGUUCUAUCAGACAUGCAGCUACAAUGGUGCCCCUCACACAGGGUUUGGUUCUUGUAGUGGUUGUCAGGCUUCUCUUUACUAUGAUAACACACAUAGAUAGAUAAACCAUCGAUCUACAAACUACUAGGAUUUUUAAGACAUUUAACAAAAGUGCAGUACACAAGAUUCCUAUGUAAAAAUUCAUCAAAGUUACUAUAUGUCAACAAUGGAUUUUUUUAUAAAAACAUAAAUUUUUUAAAAGUCACACAUUUUCAGUAGCCAAAAAGCCAUGUGAGAGACUGGAAUGAACCUAGCAGGAGAUGUAUAAAAUGACCAAAGAGCAUUCACAUCAGUCUACAGGAAUUGCACAGAAAAUGGAAAUAACAUGGCAGGUAAAAAGACUCAGUCUUAAAAAAGAUGUCACUUACCCUCUAUGGAAUGUUCCAGUGCAUUCCUAGUGAGAUUCCCAACAGGGAUUUUCUUAAAUGAGAAGCUAGCAGAUGCUGCAAGACUCCUGAGGACCACAGCCCAGCCAGCACUAGGCCUACCCUGAUGGCACAGCUCUGUGUGAGGGGACAAUGAGGAUGGCCUGAGUCCAUGCAGGGCUGGAAUGGGGACCUGUGGGCAAGCAGUGGGCCCAGAAACACGUGGCUCAGAGGUGAACCCAUGGUUUGCAGCACAUGGCUUCAAAUAGAACCCUAAAUAUGGAUAACUGAUUAUCCAUAUGGAAAACUGCCAGCUCAGGGUGGAACUCUAGCUGUCCCCAGACUCGAAAGGCAGUACACUAAGGUCCACACAGGAGAAACAAGAUUCCAAGAAGAAAAGAGACUAGGGCUUUAAGGCAUCAGACAAUAUUUAUAUAACUCAUAAAAAUCACAGUGCUGUGGAUAAGGUUGAUAAAUACUACUUUAAAAUGAUGUAUCCAUCAAUAGACAUAAAAACUUGAAAUCUUAAGCCAUGAAAUGGGAGAGUCUGUGUUACCUCUACACAAGGCCUGUGUCCAAAACAUGCAGAAGCUGUCUGUACCUCAGUAAAUGUUACAGGGCUUGGGAAGGGCAUCAGAGGUAGAGUGCUUUUCCAGCAUGGGUAGGGCCAUAUAUUCCAUCUCCAGAGCAGCUGCCCCACUAGAGGAGUUCUAUUCUCUUAGGGGUAAGAUCAAAACAAUGCUUUGAGCAUAUUUUUAAGAUUCAUCCUGAUUCUUCGUUUCUUUUUUGUUUUUGUUUUUGUUUUCUUAGACAGGAUCUUCUGUGCAGUUCAGGCUGGUCCUGAAAUCACUAUAUAGCUGAGGCUUCUUCAAAUAGAACCCUAAAUGUGGAUAACUGAUAAUCCAUAAGAAAAACGGCCAGCUCAGAGUGGAGCUCUAUCUGUCCCCAAACAUGAAAUUCAGUACACUAAUGCCCACACAGGAGAACUAAGAAGUAACUCUCAGUGAUCUUUAUGCCUUAGCCUCUCCAGUUCAGGAAUAACAGAUGUGUCUCAGCCCAUCCAGUGGACUAGCAGGGAUUCUUGCAUUUGGGAAUAUUCUAGGAUCCUCUUGUUAUUACAGGGUACCUUGUCCUUCCACAGAGAGUAAGAAAACAUAGGUUGUUGGCAAGCAAGAGUGGGGGAAACACACAUCUUUUCUCUCAGUAGGGAAGCAUCAUGGAUUAAGGCUGUAGACCAUGUCUCUUAUCUCCACAAGGGUCCCUGUCUACUUCAUUAAGAGAACACAUAGGCGGAAGAGUGGAAUAAGUACACAUUAUACUUUUACAGAGUAACAGGUGCAGGACCUAGAGUUCCUCCCUGCUCUGUCUCUCGGUGGGACAUUUUUAGUUGCUUAUCUAGUUUAUUUUGGGAGACACAGGUGUGAUGGCGUCCUGGUUUUUUGCUGUUGUUUGUUUGGUACUAAGGAUCAAACGUGCACAACCUCACCCUUACCAGGCAAUCCCAGCCAGGAAUCCUGGUUUAAUAAGACUUCUGGGUUUUUAGGUGAAUGAGAUGAAAUGGGAAAGUGAGGGGCAGGGAAGAACUCACACCACACUUCCGGUGGGUAACUGGCCCUGAGCUGAGGCCCCAGAGCAGGCACCUGCCCUGUGUUCCUUUGUCCCCAGGGGGGUCCCAGAUUGCCUGAGCACCCCUGAGAGUGAUGAAGGAAGACAUACAGAAGGCACAGCCUGCUCUAGCUGCUCUGAGCCACAGGAAAGGACAGUGGUGCCAUGGAGCCCUGGGUGAUGGCAUGUGGAUAAGAUGUGGGCAAUGGGCACCCAGGGGAGAGCAAAAGAUGUGUGUUACUUACAAAGAUGAGUCCCCAUGAACACCAAGGAUGGGGAGUACUUUUUUUUUUUUUUUGACAGUUUCUGAAAUGAUUUCCUGGGAAAUACAAGGGCCUGUAGUGCUGCUUUUAUGUAAAGAGAAGAGCAUCACUGCAGGUCUUAGAAAAAUAUUCGGUGCUGAGGACCAAACCCCUGCCAGGCAAGUGCUUGCUCUACCAUUGGGGUAAAUUCCCAACUCUCAAAGACUUUUGCUUCUUUGCUUGGGUUUUUCUUUUUUAGGACACUGCCUUUUUAAGGCAGUGUCUCUCUGUGUAUUUUAGGCUGAUCUGGAGCUCACUGUGUAGCCCAGGCUGGCGUGGAACUCUUAGCAAGCCCAUUGCACUUCCUACCACAGACAUGGCCUUGCCCCUGCCACAGGCUUCUGGGACAGGGUCUGGCACCCGGAACCCCACGACCUGGCCCCAAUGCCCCCGACCCCGUGAUCCCAUCCCCAUCCCCUGGAUUCAUGACCCCCAGGCACACUGUCCCCCAAGCCAGGAUGUCCCCGUCACAGGACGCUGGACCCCUGAACACAGCUCUCUGGAUCACAGUACCCCAGGCGCAAACUUGCCUCCCCUAGCCUGGCCCUCUGGACUCUGGCAACGGGGCUCUGGCCCCUAACCACCCCCCAACCCUGGCCAGGAACUGGGCCAAGGCCUCCAGAACCACAGUCCCCUGAGCCUAGCACUGCUGCACUGUCUUCCCACUCUGGGCCCAAGGAAACCAGCUCUGAACUUUGAACUUUGGUACCCAGGCCCAGACACCAUUCUCCCCAUCCCCCCUGGGUCCCUGGCCCCAAACCUUGAAUUCCGAGUCCCCCAGUCUCAGGGACCCUGGUCCCUGGAACCUAGCCCUCGCCCCAGACCCCUAGACCUCUGGCCCAUAGUCCCAGGGCCCCAGCACCCCAGACCCAGUAUCCUGGAGUCUUAGUCCUGGCCUCACCACACCACUUCCAGCCCAGCUACAGGACGCACCCUGGUGCCUCAGCGUACCAGCACGCCCUGGUUUAGCCUGCCUGUCCUGGUGCACAUUGCACCCAUGCCUCAGUGCGCAGGGGCAUUGCCCAUGUUCCCUGGCUCACAGGCACCAGGCCCCUCCUACCAUAGCUCUGCCUUAGGCCUCAAAACCCUCAGGCCCUGACAGGGGCCUCUGAACUCCAGCACUAACACAGGGUCCCCAGCUCCUGUCUUCCAGGCCCCCGCCUGCAAAGCAGGCCCCAAUGCCUCAAGCCCAGUGUUGUACCCUAAAAAAAUAGCUUUGUUAUAUGUGUAUUAUAGCAAACCUGUAUAGGGGCUUACUAAAUGUGUUUGUUUUAUCCUUUUUCCCUAACUGAUAUGUUAAGGGACCUAAUUGAUCUGUUGAGCAACACUCUCCUCUGUAAAGAAUUGCAAGAAUCUCACCUAAUUGAUAUGUUAACCAUUGUUGCUCUCUACAAACUACAGAAGCUGUGCUAAAACAAGCUAACAAGGGUUGUUAAUCACUGCUAGGAGCCUCUAUUCUCCGCUAAAGAGCUAAGGAAAACUAAAAUGGCAAUUAAUUUACAUUUGUUUAAAGUAACCUGCUUGUGUGCAGAGAGAUUUGCGUGUGAGUUUAACCCUUUAUCCUGACCUUGACACAUUACCGCCGUUUUCUGUUCUGUAUGGCGCCUUAUUGCCUCCCUCUCCCCUCACCUAUCUAUCUAGGCCAUAAAGAAUUUGGGUUUCUGGUGACCUCCCCCUGACCCGGUGAUGAUCUGUUGUAAAAUGAGCCUGCCCCAAUUUUAAGAACUGCUUAGCUUAAACAAAUUACCGGGUAAUACUAUGGCCCAAACCCCAAUCGGUGCUUUCCUUUUGUUCUGUAUAUAUCAAAUGAGUUAGAUAUCAGGUCUUCGUAAAACUUAAGUUCCAGCGUCUCAUAACUUGUGACCCCUUCGCACUCACUAGCGAAGACAAGCUGUCCUGAGAUAAUUAACUGUCCACUUUCUUCUCCAAAUAUUGCUGCAGACGUGCCACUCUGAGAUAAUGUCAGUCUGCAGGAUAGAAAUAAUUUUUAAAAAAAACACCAGAAACUCCCUAGAUUGUCAGAGCUAAGUGGACAGCAAUACAGUUUCCAGACUCGGGUCAACAAGUUUGAUGGCUCUACAGGUUUCUUUGUUUCUCUCCCCCCACCCUUUCCUCCAGCCCCUUUUUAAAGUCCUCCCUUCAGCUUCUAGGGAACAGUCUCCAAAUUGGCUCCCGGAGACUGGUCGCCAGGCCUGGAAAUAAAGCCUUUGCCACUAAAUUUUCGGUCUCUUGCCUCCUUGGAUUUUAUACCGGGGCUCAAGUUAUAACACCCAGGGCCCCUUAGUUCCUGGCUUGCAGACCCACUGGACCCUGACCCUAGCCCCCAACCCUAGCCUCGGUUCCAGACGCGGCUCUCAGGCUUGGAUUCCUGUCCCAGAGCCUUAGCACAGGGUCCUGGCUCCCAGGCCAGAGCCUCCACUCUCCCAUCACCAGCCAGAGGCCCCACCACUGGUCCAACAGUCCCAAAGCCCAGCCUCCACUCCUGGUCUCCUCUGGCUACCAGGUCACCUAGUCAGGGCCCUGCUCCUGUCCCCAGCCCUAGCUUCCCAGUCCCCAGGCACCUGGCCACCUAACCCUAGCCCAGGUUCCCCAGAAGGCCCCAGUCCAGGCUCCAUGCCCCAGUCCCCAGGGCACCUAGCCCAGGCCCCAGGGCCCAGGCUCCCAGGCCUCAGCACCUCAAUGUAGGCACCCUGGAGUCUGACACACCCCCGACCCGCAGCACUAGCCUCGGGCCCCUGAAUACAGUCCUGUACUCUAGAAUGACUCCUGCAAAUCUGGUCUUGGGUCCUGGCCUCCUAAACCCACCGAGGCCAGAUCCCCUGGCAAGGUGCGCACUCUCCCUUCCUUUCCACCCCGUUUGCCCCUCCCUCCUUCUCCCCUUGGUCCCCUGAGGACCCCAUCUCCCUCACCCUCCAUCGCCCCCAGGAACUGCCCCUGAGACUGAGUCCAAGCUCCCUAGAGAGGCGCGCUUGGGGGCGGUAGCAGAGAAGUUUGUGGGGGCUCAAGAUGGUUUAGGCGAGCCUAGGGGUGGAGCCAGAGUCCUUGAAAAGCCUGUUACACUUGUGCCAACUCCACACCUCUAUGGCGAGCCCACGUGAACUCCGGAAGCUGAGGCAGCCUGAGCGGUGAGGACCUGCUUCUGCCGUCCAUGAGCCGGACUGUCCGCUGAGCAGUGCCCGGUUCCGAUGGUCAGGACCUGGCUCCCCGCCUAGUAUCUGCUUCUCCAACUGGUGCAGGUAAUCACCAUAACUGACUGCAUGUACAAACAGAGCCUACAGUACUCUGGCCCAGAGUCCUGUAAUGCUGAUGAAUACAUAUAUGCUCAUCGUUGCUGCAAGAUGUGCCCUACGGGUCAGUAUGUAGAGAAGCUCUGCAUGAGACCCCACACCCAGGGAGUGUGUGUAAAGUGUGAGCUGGGGACAUUCACAGCAUAUGCCAACGGCCUGGAGUCUUGCCUCGUCUGCUCCACCUGCCGGGCUGGAAACGCUAAUGGAUGUGAGAAGAUGGUGAGGCAGUCAGUGGCAAAGAGUUCUGUCACUGAGGCAGGUGAUGAGCUCAGCAGUGCCCCAGCAAGCACUUCUCACACAUCACCUGGUAAAGAGGGAAGCGGUAUGUUACCUCAGAGUUUUGAGGGUUCCAGCCCAGGUGAUCCAUCUCCAUACGGGGUGACGCCGGACACAACACCAGGAGCAUGUGGCCCAGCAUGUCCAGGAAGAAGAAGAGAAGAUGAGAGGACUGAGUCCCAGGAUCACCUUCUAGAAUGCACCCCUAGUGAUUGAAGGCCUCUCAGCAGGCCCCACCUCUCAGAGCUUCCAGUAUCUCCUGGAGUGCCAGGGAAAGCAUCAAGAGUUUAACUCAAGCACCAUGGAUGCCAACCAUAACAUCUGCCCUCGUGGGUACCCUGGAUAAGACAUAAAGGACAACGUGGGGUGGGAGUCCUGGCUUAUGACUGGUCCCCUCCUUGCUGUCUUAGCCUGCCCUGCUUUGUCACAGAGUUUAAUGCCACCCCACUGUGACCCCCAGGCUCUGGACUAAGGUGGUAGGAAACAGACCAAACACAGGAUGCAACAGCACCAAGGAGCUUAAGGAGUCAGUUUAUUACUCAGGUGGGCUUCUGAUCAGGGUCUGUCUUGAAGAACCAGAGCCCUGCCCAGCACGGCCUCAGGGCUUUUAAAGGGAAAAUAAUUGCGGGGGGAAGGUAGGGCCCAAAGAAAAAUUCAGUGCAUGCGGCUGAAGAAUUGCGUAACAGAGGGAGAACUGUUCUUUUAUGUUGUAAGUUAUAUCACAUAGCUGUUAGCGCCAGUUAUACAAAAGCAGUGAAGAGGGGUUUAUCAAAGGACCAUUUGAAGUUCCAUUACAGUGAGACAGGGUAACACAGGAAGGGAAUUUUGUAUUUGCAGUUACCACUGGACACAUCUUGCAGACUCAACUAAGCAUUAAUAAAUUAGUGAGUUUUGUUGUAUUUUGCAAUAAGAAUUUAAAAAUAAAAUUUUAUAGUAUUUGUCAA